UCUAGUUAGCACUCCCAUUGAAACUGCGAAUGGCUCAUUAAAUCAGUUAUCGUUUAUUUGAUAGUACCUUACUACAUGGAUAACCGUGGUAAUUCUAGAGCUAAUACAUGCUAAAAACCUCGACUUCGGAAGGGGUGUAUUUAUUAGAUAAAAAACCAAUGCCCUUCGGGGCUCCUUGGUGAAUCAUAAUAACUUAACGAAUCGCAUGGCCUUGCGCCGGCGAUGGUUCAUUCAAAUUUCUGCCCUAUCAACUUUCGAUGGUAGGAUAGUGGCCUACCAUGGUAUCAACGGGUAACGGGGAAUUAGGGGGCGACUCCGGAGAGGGAGCCUGAGAAACGGCUACCACAUCCAAGGAAGGCAGCAGGCGCGCAAAUUACCCAAUCCCGACACGGGGAGGUAGUGACAAUAAAUACUGAUACAGGGCUCUUUUGGGUCUUGUAAUUGGAAUGAGUACAAUUUAAAUCCCUUAACGAGGAACAAUUGGAGGGCAAGUCUGGUGCCAGCAGCCGCGGUAAUUCCAGCUCCAAUAGCGUAUAUUAAAGUUGUUGCAGUUAAAAAGCUCGUAGUUGAACCUUGGGCCUGGCUGGCCGGUCCGCCUCACCGCGUGUACUGGUCCGGCCGGGCCUUUCCUUCUGGGGAACCUCAUGCCCUUCACUGGGCGUGUUGGGGAACCAGGACUUUUACUUUGAAAAAAUUAGAGUGUUCAAAGCAGGCCUUUGCUCGAAUACAUUAGCAUGGAAUAAUAGAAUAGGACGUGUGGUUCUAUUUUGUUGGUUUCUAGGACCGCCGUAAUGAUUAAUAGGGAUAGUCGGGGGCAUCAGUAUUCAAUCGUCAGAGGUGAAAUUCUUGGAUUGAUUGAAGACUAACUACUGCGAAAGCAUUUGCCAAGGAUGUUUUCAUUAAUCAGUGAACGAAAGUUAGGGGAUCGAAGACGAUCAGAUACCGUCGUAGUCUUAACCAUAAACUAUGCCGACUAGGGAUCGGACGGUGUUAGUAUUUUGACCCGUUCGGCACUUACAAAAAUCAAAGUUUUGGGUUCUGGGGGGAUAUGGUCGCAAGC
rnacentral:rRNA from 1 species